rnacentral:rRNA from 1 species
CCUACGGGAGGCAGCAGUGAGGAAUAUUGGUCAAUGGACGAGAGUCUGAACCAGCCAAGUAGCGUGAAGGAUGACUGCCCUAUGUGUUUUAAACUUCUUUUAUAUGGGAAUAAAAUGUUCCACGUGUGGGAUUUUGUAUGUACCAUAUGAAUAAGGAUCGGCUCACUCCGUGCCAGCAGCCGCGGUAAUACGGAGGAUCCGAGCGUUAUCCGGAUUUAUUGGGUUUAAAGGGAGCGUAGGUGGAUUGUUAAGUCAGUUGUGAAAGUUUGCGGCUCAACCUUAAAAUUGCAGUUGAAACUGGCAGUCUUGAGUACAGUAGAGGUGGGCGGAAUUCGGGGUGUAGCGGUGAAAGGCUUAGAUAUCACGAAGAACUCCGAUUGCGAAGGCAGCUCACUGGACUGCAACUGACACUGAGGCUCGAAAGUGUGGGUAUCAAACAGGAUUAGAUACCCGUGUAGUC